rnacentral:lncRNA from 1 species
GAAUGAGGCAGGGACAAACGCCUGCGUUGGCAGGACGCGGUGGUUAGGGCUGAUAUACUGCAGCUGGUUAAUACCUGGCCUGGGGAGCUGGGAGCAGCUUGUGUCUUUAUUGCUUGGUUUUUGGUUUAUAGCUCUUGGCAGAUACCCAGAGAACGAGAUGAGUCCCUGUUUUUAAUCCUGUUACAGAACCAACCCCACAACAUGAUGCUGAGCACCACGGAGCGUGCAGGCAUGGGGAAUACCCCUGCCACAGAGCUGUGCCUGCUGUGAUUGCUGUGCCCUUCUCCCGGGAGGUGCUGCCAUCCCCUGCACACGAGUCGGGGCAAAACCCUGGAUGUUCUGGCUCUCGUGCUUCCCCUUUGAGACAACGGGCUGUGCCUGCAGACCAGGAGUAGGAGGAACUUCCCUCCUACUAGGGAGGGGGUGACAUCCCACGCUUCAGUCUGCUUUGUUAUCCACGACUGUUUCCUCGUUGUGUUUGUUAUGGAAUUGGAGAGCACAGUUGGCAGACGCAGCCCAUGAACACUGCACAAGGUGCUGGGGGUUCCUGGCCCUGAUGCCCAUGUAGAGGAUGGAUCUCCUACUGCAACCACCCGUUUCUGUGCUGCUCCUGCUCCGGGUACCUCCAUACCUUCAGAGUGGGGACAUGCCGUGCUGAGGAUGGCUCGGGGCUGCUCCCCUGAGAGCCGAGAUGGAGCUCCGGGUAGAUCCUUAUGGGCAAACACACUGCAACCACGGUGUCUACUGUAGCCAUGUAUUCCUGCUCCUCAGGCUAUGGAGAGGUGAAAGACAAGGCGUCUGCGGGAACACGACCUCUCUGACAGACCCAGUUACACCAGAGCAGGCAGAGGGAAUGAUACACGCCAAUGGUGAGAGGAGAUACAGCAACUGCUCAGUUAAUGACAGUCACAUUAUAAAGGAGCAAAGAGGAGGAAAGCAGGAAAGAAUGCAGAAUAUACCCUGUCCUCCUGACGCCAAUGUCAUGGAAGCGUCAAGUGAAGAAGACAGUUGUAAAAAUGGAUUGCAUGGAGAAUGCCUCUCAAGCUGUUAUCUGUUAUUUAUAAGGAAUUAAAAUGCACUAGUUAUAUGUGCCAGAAAAAUGGGCUCAUCAGUACUGUGCUGAGAUGCAUUAUGACUUUCCGAUUCCUGAUUUCAUAGCUGCUGUACUCACUCGAAAACAUAUUUAUAUACUUUGUAUCAACUGCUACCCAUUGAAUUUUUAUUGUCCAUUACAGGGGAAAAUCUUAUGUUUCAAUUUGCAUCUCGCUUGAUUCAUUGACACACCAUUCAUAACUCUGGUCUUGUGGGAUUUCCUCGGGAAAUGCUGGAUCUCAGGCUGUGAGGAUAUCCCUUCCUACAGCACAUGAACGGCUGUUAAUGCCAUCACACCGUGGGCUGACAGAUGUCAAUGGAGUCCCAGCCCCCGCCACAGUCAGGAG